rnacentral:rRNA from 1 species
GACAGCAGCAGCCGCGGUAAUACGAAGGGUGCAAGCGUUACUCGGAAUUACUGGGCGUAAAGCGUGCGUAGGUGGUGGUUUAAGUCCGUUGUGAAAGCCCUGGGCUCAACCUGGGAAUUGCAGUGGAUACUGGGUCACUAGAGUGUGGUAGAGGAUAGUGGAAUUUCCGGUGUAGCAGUGAAAUGCGUAGAGAUCGGAAGGAACAUCUGUGGCGAAGGCGACUAUCUGGGCCAACACUGACACUGAGGCACGAAAGCGUGGGGAGCAAACAGGAUUAGAGACCCCUGUAGUCCCUGUCUCUUAUAC